rnacentral:rRNA from 1 species
AGUGUAGGUGGCCUAACAUGUCAACUGUGAAAACCCGGAGCUCAACUCCGGACUUGCAGUUGAAACUGGUAGGCUUGAGGACGGUAGAGGAAGACGGAACUGCCAGUGUAGGGGUAAAAUCCUUAGAUAUUGGCAGGAACGCCGGUGACGAAGGUGGUUUUCUGGGCCGGUUCUGACACUGAUGCUCGAAAGCCAGGGGAGCGAACG